AAGGGCCGUAAAAUCUCCAGGACUUUGUUGUUGUUUUGUUGUUGUUUUUAAAUCUUAAAUACAAUUCCUUCUUGACAUAGAUCAUGCGACCCAUAAUGGGUUUGACUGUUGUUUGUCUAAGGCUUCACUGCUGAGUUUGGCGAGUGAUCAUGAAGCUAUCACUUGUUUUGAUAAGACCCAUCUCCCUCCAAAGGAAAUGAAAUACAUUUCCUGAACUCCGAGGACCAGAAGCUGCCCUUGUCUGCCACCUUUGAUGACCUCGCCGAGGACGGACAGACGGAGAGGGAUGACGCUGACCCAAUGGCCUCGAAACAAUCACACGGCUCCCUGGACAUGAUCCGGAGCCUGUGU
rnacentral:lncRNA from 1 species